GCUUUAACUAAUUUGGUUUUGUCAAUACUCCGACAACACCAUUAGCAUUUUCUUUCUUGCUGCCCUAAAUCUUGCAGCUGAGCGAUUUCCCCUCAUUCUCCCUGCAUUCUUGAGCCCUAGAUAUUAGCGCUGAUCGGUUUCUCCUCAUUCUUUCCCCUCUCUAGGCGCAUUCUUGAGUUUCCUUUGCUUGGUGUGUUUCUGAUUUCUCCUAGUCCAAGAAGUAAUGGAUCGUCUGUUUCAAUCUCCAAUGCUAGGCCGGAUCAUAGACCUUUUGGUAUUGCAAGUUACUGACCUCCAGCUAGCUAGUGACAAAACAAACCUUCUAUUGAGCAUUGGUGUGGGAGUUGGAGUUAUGUUGCUCGUUCUUUCGCUUGUUUUGGGAGACUCUAGGAGCGGUGCGGGAUAACGAAAGAUUGCUACUGUUGGAUCAAGAGAGGAUUGAGUUCAUCCUCUUGAAUAAAUGUAAGGAAUUUGAGAAUUCUGUAAACUUAUGUAAUAUUUGGAUUUACUAGACUGU